GGUUGAUCAUGGCUCAGAUUGAACGCUGGCGGGAUGCUUUACACAUGCAAGUCGAACGGCAGCACGGACUUCGGUCUGGUGGCGAGUGGCGAACGGGUGAGUAAUGUAUCCCGGAACAGUGCCCUGGUAGCGGGGGAUAACUACGCGGGCGUAGCUAAUACCAUACGCCCUUCGGGGAAAGCGGGGGACCUUCGAGGCCUCGCACUAUUGAAGCGGCCGAUAUCGGAUUAGCUAGUUGGUGGGGUAACGGCUCGCAAGGCGACGAUCCGUAGCUGGUUUGAGGAGGACGACCAGCCACUGGGACAGAGACGGCAGACUCCUACGGGAGGCAGCAGUGGGGAAUUUUGGACAAUGGGGGAAACCCUGAUCCAGCCAUCCCGCGUGUGCGAUGAAGGCCUUCGGGUUGUAAAGCACUUUUGGCGGGAAAGAAACGGCACGGGAUAAUACCCGUGCAGCUGACAGUACCUGCAGAAUGGCACCGGCUAACUACGUGCCAUGGCCAUGAUAAUACGUAGGGUGCAAGCGUUAAUCGGAAUUACUGGGCGUAAAGCGUGCGCAGGCGGUUCGGAAAGAAAGAUGUGAAAUCGAGCAACUUUGGAACUGCAUUUUUAACUACCGAGCUAGAGUGUGUCAGAGGGAGGUGGAAUUCCGCGAUGUAGCAGUGAAAUGCGUAGAUAUGCGGAGGAACACCGAUGGCGAAGGCAGCCUCUGGGAUAACACUGACGCUCAUGCGAAAGCGUGGGGGCAAACGGGAU
rnacentral:misc_RNA from 1 species